rnacentral:tRNA from 1 species
GGGUCUGUGGUCUAAUUGGAAGCAAGGCGCUCGGCUUCUAUCCGAGAUGAUGCAGGUUCGAGUCCUGCCAGGCCCU